rnacentral:rRNA from 1 species
UACGAAGGGAGCGAGCGUUGUUCGGAAUUACUGGGCGUAAAGGGCGCGUAGGCGGCCGAGCAAGUUAGAUGUGAAAGUCCUGGGCUUAACCUGGGGACUGCAUUUGAUACUGCUUGGCUUGAAUUCGGGAGAGGAUAGCGGAAUUCCCAGUGUAGAGGUGAAAUUCGUAGAUAUUGGGAAGAACACCGGUGGCGAAGGCGGCUAUCUGGACCGACAUUGACGCUGAGGCGCGAAAGCGUGGGGAGCAAACAGG